UACGGGGGGAGCAAGCGUUGUUCGGAUUUACUGGGCGUAAAGGGCGCGUAGGCGGCCACUGCAAGUCAAUUGUGAAAUCUCCGGGCUUAACUCGGAAAGGUCAACUGAUACUGCAGGGCUAGAGUGCGGAAGGGGCAACUGGAAUUCUCGGUGUAGCGGUGAAAUGCGUAGAUAUCGAGAGGAACACCUGAGGCGAAGGCGGGUUGCUAGGCUGAUACUGACGCUGAGGCGCGAAAGCUAGGGUAGCAAACGGG
rnacentral:rRNA from 1 species